AUACGUAGGUGACAAGCGUUAUCCGGAUUUACUGGGCGUAAAGGGCGUGUAGGCGGUCUUGCAAGUCAGAAGUGAAAUUCCUGAGCUCAACUCGGGCGCUGCUUCUGAAACUGCAGGACUUGAGUGCUGGAGGGGAUAGCGGAAUUCCUAGUGGAGCGGUAAAAUGCGCAGAUAUUAGGAAGAACACCGGUGGCGAAGGCGGCUAUCUGGACAGUAACUGACGCUGAGGCGCGAAAGCGUGGGGAGCAAACAGGAUUAGAUCCCCUGGUAGUCCACGCCGUAAACGAUGAAUACUAGGUGUAGGGGGUAUCGACUCCCUCUGUGCCGCAGUUAACACAAUAAGUAUUCCGCCUGGGGAGUACUGCCGCAAGGUUGAAACUCAAAGGAAUUGGCGGGG
rnacentral:rRNA from 1 species